AGAGUUUGAUCAUGGCUCAGAUUGAACGCUGGCGGCAGGCCUAACACAUGCAAGUUGAGCGGUAGCACAAGAGAGCUUGCUCUCUGGGUGACGAGCGGCGGACGGGUGAGUAAUGUCUGGGAAACUGCCUGAUGGAGGGGGAUAACUACUGGAAACGGUAGCUAAUACCGCAUAACGUCUUCGGACCAAAGUGGGGGACCUUCGGGCCUCACGCCAUCAGAUGUGCCCAGAUGGGAUUAGCUAGUAGGUGGGGUAAUGGCUCACCUAGGCGACGAUCCCUAGCUGGUCUGAGAGGAUGACCAGCCACACUGGAACUGAGACACGGUCCAGACUCCUACGGGAGGCAGCAGUGGGGAAUAUUGCACAAUGGGCGCAAGCCUGAUGCAGCCAUGCCGCGUGUGUGAAGAAGGCCUUCGGGUUGUAAAGCACUUUCAGCGAGGAGGAAGGGUAGUGUGUUAAUAGCACAUUGCAUUUGACGUUACUCGCAGAAAAGCACCGGCUAACUCCGUGCCACAGCCGCGGUAAUACCGGAGGGUGCAAGCGUUAUCGGAAUUACUGGGGCGUAAAGCCGCACGCAGCCGGUUGUUAAGUCAGAUGUGAAAUCCCCGCGCUUAACGUGGGAACUGCAUUUGGAACUGGCAGCUUAGAUCUUGUAGAAGGGGGGUAGAAUUCCAGGUGUACCGGUGAAUGCCUUA
rnacentral:rRNA from 1 species